UAAAUGGGGAGCAUUUUGAUGAGUGAGACUAAGUAGGGUCACAUUUCACCAGAAACAAGUACGUUUCCUGGAGUUAAGGGUAGAGGCCUUUGUUCUGUCUGAAAGAGGAUUGAUGAACCAUAAAACUCAGUAAAUUCAGUGCAAUUAAUUAACAAGGAUAAAAAAUAAAGAAUGGAUGAUAAUGCAGAGACUUCAAGAAGACGCAGUUCAUCAUGGAAGGACAAAUUUUAUCGAAAUGUGAUCAACCUUUCUACAGCCGAAUUCAUAAGGAAGUAAGAACACUUCAGUUAAAUUUGGGUAACAAGGGUAACAAGCUCAUCGUUUUUAGUACAGGGGGUAUGUCUAUGGGUCAGCAUGUCCAGAUUUAGCAGUUUUAAAGUUGUGAAGUUGUUAUAACGAACGAGAUGCAACCGUCGAAAGCAAUUAGAUGACUAAAUUUUUCACAAUCAAAUGAGCCCUUCAUGUGAUGUCAUUCAAGCAACGUCUGUUCUAGAUCUUUUAUAAAUCAUAGCAUAAAUCAUAUAUCAAUGCUAAUCAUUAUUAAAUUUUUCUACCUUUUAUUGGUUAUUAAAAC